GACGAACGCUGGCGGCGUGCUUAACACAUGCAAGUCGAACGGAAAGGCCCUGCUUGCAGGGUACUCGAGUGGCGAACGGGUGAGUAACUCGUGGGUGAUCUGCCCUGCACUUCGGGAUAAGCCUGGGAAAAUGGGUCUAAUACCGGAUAGGAGCCAUUUUUAGUGUGAUGGUUGGAAAGUCUUUUCGAUGUAGGAUGAGCUCGCGGCCUAUCAGCUUGUUGGUGGGGUAAUGGCCUACCAAGGCGGCGACGGGUAGCCGGCCUGAGAGGGUGGACGGCCACAUUGGGACUGAGAUACGGCCCAGACUCCUACGGGAGGCAGCAAUGGGGAACAUUGCACAAUGGGCGCAAGCCUGAUGCAGCGACGCCGCGUGGGGGAUGACGGCCUUCGGGUUGUAAACUCCUUUCGCUAGGGACGAAGCUUUUUGUGACGGUACCUAGAUAAGAAGCACCGGCUAACUACGUG
rnacentral:rRNA from 1 species